rnacentral:rRNA from 1 species
ACACACCGCCCGUCACACCAUGAGAGUUGGGAAUACCCGAAGCCUGUGAGCUAACUUUUAGAGGCAGCAGUCGAAGGUAGAAUCAAUGAUUGGGUGAAGUCGUAACAAGGUACC